rnacentral:rRNA from 1 species
UACGAAGGGUGCAAGCGUUAAUCGGAAUUACUGGGCGUAAAGCGUGCGUAGGCGGUUUGUUAAGUCUGUUGUGAAAUCCCCGGGCUCAACCUGGGAAUGGCAAUGGAUACUGGCAAGCUAGAGUGUGUCAGAGGAUGGUGGAAUUCCCGGUGUAGCGGUGAAAUGCGUAGAGAUCGGGAGGAACAUCAGUGGCGAAGGCGGCC